UACGGGGGGGGCAAGCGUUGUUCGGAAUUACUGGGCGUAAAGCGCGCGUAGGCGGCUUUUCAAGUCAGACGUGAAAGCCCCAGGCUUAACCUGGGAAUUGCGUUUGAUACUGUUAGGCUAGAGUGUGGAAGGGGCUACUGGAAUUCCGUGUGUAGCGGUGAAAUGCGCAGAUAUCAGGAGGAACACCGGUGGCGAAGGCGGGUCUCUGGGCCGUAACUGACGCUGAGGAGCGAAAGCAUGGGGAGCGAACAGG
rnacentral:rRNA from 1 species